GACUACAUUAGAUACCCGUGUAGUCCUAGCCGUAAACGAUACUCGCUAGGUGUCGGCCACGGUGCGACCGUUGUCGGUGCCGUAGGGAAGCCGUGAAGCGAGCCACCUGGGAAGUACGGCCGCAAGGCUGAAACUUAAAGGAAUUGGCGGGGAGCACCACAACGGGUGGAGCCUGCGGUUUAAUUGGACUCAACGCCGGGAAGCUCACCGGAUAAGACAGCGGAAUGAUUGCCGGGCUGAAGACCCUGCAUGACCAGCUG
rnacentral:rRNA from 1 species